AGGCAUAGGCAAACUUGGCCCUCCAGCUGUUUUGGGACUACAACCACUGGUCCUGUUAGCUAGGGGUGAUGGGAGUUGUAGUCCCAAAACAUCUGGAGGGCCGAGUUUGCCUAUGCCU